UACGAAGGGGCUAGCGUUGUUCGGAAUUACUGGGCGUAAAGCGCACGUAGGCGGAUAUUUAAGUCGGGGGUGAAAUCCCGGGGCUCAACCCCGGAACUGCCUUCGAUACUGGGUAUCUUGAGUUCGGAAGAGGUGAGUGGAAUUGCGAGUGUAGAGGUGAAAUUCGUAGAUAUUCGCAGGAACACCAGUGGCGAAGGCGGCUCACUGGUCCGAUACUGACGCUGAGGUGCGAAAGCGUGGGGAGCAAACAGG
rnacentral:rRNA from 1 species